CUACGGGUGGUUCCAGUGGGGAAUAUUGCACAAUGGGGGAAACCCUGAUGCAGCAACGCCGCGUGGAGGAUGACGCAUUUCGGUGUGUAAACUCCUUUUAUAUAGGAAGAUAAUGACGGUACUAUAUGAAUAAGCACCGGCUAACUCCGUGCCAGCAGCCGCGGUAAUACGGAGGGUGCAAGCGUUACUCGGAAUCACUGGGCGUAAAGCGCGCGCAGGCGGCCCCUUAAGUUGGAUGUGAAAGCCUACGGCUUAACCGUAGAACUGCAUCCAAAACUGAGGGGCUAGAGUCUGGGAGGGGAAGAUGGAAUUAGUUGUGUAGGGGUAAAAUCCGUAGAGAUAACUAGGAAUACCAAAAGCGAAGGCGAUCUUCUGGAACAGUACUGACGCUGAGGCGCGAAAGCGUGGGGAGCAAACAGGAUUAGAUACCCCCGUAGUC
rnacentral:rRNA from 1 species